rnacentral:rRNA from 5 species
UGUGAACUGCAGGACACAUGAACAUCGACAUUUCGAACGCACAUUGCGGUCCACGGAUACAAUUCCCGGACCACGCCUGGCUGAGGGUCG